AUGAAUAUCCCGUGGCUUGUGAUCGGUGACUUUAAUGAAAUAUUGUAUUCACAUGAGAAGGAAGGAGGAGCUCGACGCCCAGAACGUAUGAUGCAAGAGUUCCGGGAAGCCUUGGUGGAUUGCUAGUUAGACGAGAUGGGGUUCAUGGGUGACCAAUUCACUUGGAGAAGGAGGCGUCUCAGGGAACGCUUGGAUAGGGCGGUUUGUAACGAUGGGUUUCAGUUGUUGUAUCCUAAUGCUACCCUCACGAAUGCAGAACAUUUAAAAUCUGAUCAUAGACCAUUAGUCCUGGAUUUGGAAGGGGAGGUAAGCAUGCAGCGAUCUCAUUAUGGAGUGAAGCGCUUCGAAUCAAGAUGGCUAAAAGAAAAUGAUGUGGUACAAAGGGUGACCGAGGCGUGGGAAAGGACAGACGCCCACGCGUCCCUUGCAGCAUGA
rnacentral:rRNA from 1 species